UGUCCUGUGAAAAGUCUCAAAUCCAUCUUCUCUGUAGGUUUUAUUUUUCAUAAAAUAUGAAAAAUAUAUUUACAUAAAAAUAUUUUUUUAUUCUUUCUUCUCCUAAAAUUCUAACUAAAUAAGAGAUCUUUAUUCAAUUCCCAGGAAUCACCUUUUCUCCUUCCAAUAUCCACGGACCAAAUGAGUCGUAAGGGCUUUUGAGUAUUCAUGGCAACCCA
rnacentral:lncRNA from 1 species